rnacentral:rRNA from 1 species
UACAGAGGGUGCGAGCGUUAAUCGGAAUUACUGGGCGUAAAGCGUGCGUAGACGGCUAUCUAAGUCGGGUGUGAAAGCCCCGGGCUCAACCUGGGAAUUGCAUUCGAGACUGAAUAGCUAGGGUGCGGUAGAGGGAAGCGGAAUUUCCGGUGUAGCGGUGAAAUGCGUAGAUAUCGGAAGGAACAUUAGUGGCGAAAGCGGCUUCCUGGACCAGCACCGGACGUCAGGCACGAAAGCGUGGGGAGCAAACAGG